UGGGGAAUUUUGGACAAUGGGCGAAAGCCUGAUCCAGCAAUGCCGCGUGUGUGAAGAAGGCCUUCGGGUUGUAAAGCACUUUUGUCCGGAAAGAAAUCCUUGGCUCUAAUACAGUCGGGGGAUGACGGUACCGGAAGAAUAAGCACCGGCUAACUACGUGCCAGCAGCCGCAGUAAUACGUAGGGUGCAAGCGUUAAUCGGAAUUACUGGGCGUAAAGCGUGCGCAGGCGGUUUGCUAAGACCGAUGUGAAAUCCCCGGGCUCAACCUGGGAACUGCAUUGGUGACUGGCAGGCUAGAGUAUGGCAGAGGGGGGUAGAAUUCCACGUGUAGCAGUGAAAUGCGUAGAGAUGUGGAGGAAUACCGAUGGCGAAGGCAGCCCCCUGGGCCAAUACUGACGCUCAUGCACGAAAGCGUGGGGAGCAAACAGGAUUAGAUACCCUGGUAGUCCACGCCCUAAACGAUGUCAACUAGUUGUUGGGGAUUCAUUUCCUUAGUAACGUAGCUAACGCGUGAAGUUGACCGCCUGGGGAGUACGGUCGCAAGAUUAAAACUCAAAGGAAUUGACGGGGUCAUA
rnacentral:rRNA from 1 species